CACCAGUCACACAAAUGUAUGGGUCCUUUUUAUAAGGUAUGUCUUUGUAUAUUGUUGAUUGUAAUGAUUGUGGAAAUACACAAGAGACAAUAUCACAGUAAUCAAAUGUAAAUGUGGCUACAUGUGUGUUUGAAGAAUUAUACCAAAAUGUGUAAACAAGAUUUUCUUUUGGUAAUUGCAACUCGUUAGGCCUCUAAUAGGCCUAGCAGCGGGAAAAAGGUACAGGAAGCUCAUAGCUCAACGAAAUUUGGAACUUGCAGUGAGAGGCGU